UGCUCCCGGAUGUUAGCGGCGGACGGGUGAGUAACACGUGGGUAACCUGCCUGUAAGACUGGGAUAACUCCGGGAAACCGGAGCUAAUACCGGAUAGUUCCUUGAACCGCAUGGUUCAAGGAUGAAAGACGGUUUCGGCUGUCACUUACAGAUGGACCCGCGGCGCAUUAGCUAGUUGGUGGGGUAAUGGCUCACCAAGGCGACGAUGCGUAGCCGACCUGAGAGGGUGAUCGGCCACACUGGGACUGAGACACGGCCCAGACUCCUACGGGAGGCAGCAGUAGGGAAUCUUCCGCAAUGGACGAAAGUCUGACGGAGCAACGCCGCGUGAGUGAUGAAGGUUUUCGGAUCGUAAAGCUCUGUUGUUAGGGAAGAACAAGUGCGAGAGUAACUGCUCGCACCUUGACGGUACCUAACCAGAAAGCCACGGCUAACUACGUGCCAGCAGCCGCGGUAAUACGUAGGUGGCAAGCGUUGUCCGGAAUUAUUGGGCGUAAAGGGCUC
rnacentral:rRNA from 1 species